AAUCCAGAGAAACUCAAAAAGUGAAAACCUACAACUACAAGCUGCCGACGCCAACUUCCCUUGUUGAACUACCAUCGAAGCCGUCGAUGCCAAAUUUAACGAGUUUCUUAAUAGUGAGUAUGACAAGUCAAGCAAUUGAUGGAUAAAUCAAAUAGUUGAUUUGAAGGUUUGAAGCAAACGAACUAUUGAAUGGAUCGUUGAAGUUUUAAUAUUAGCAUCUACUCUUUGGUAUUUGUAUGCAUUGAAAAAUUAAUCUUGUUGGUUAACUUGUUAUUUACAUGUUAUUAAAUUGAACUACUUAAAUUUGUAAAACUACGAUUAAACGUGUCAUUAGUUGUAUUUACUUAGUAUUGUUAUAAA